GCUCGCCGACUCCUUGGAUCCGGCAAUAUCCGUUCUGGCGCCUACCAUCUACAGCAGAACCCACGCUGUGAUAGGCGCCAGGUUAAAGCGGAUGCUAGGAGAGGAACCUACCAUCAAGUCCCUACAGCAACACCGUAAGAAGACCCUCUCCGAGCAGGUCCAAGGAUACGGCUCAGAGCAUUUUAAUAACAGUUAUUCUAACAGCUGGUUAUCAGGAUCGACCAGAUUGAUCUCUGGCCGGAACUACGUGCAAGCCUGUGCACUACGCACGCAAACUCUACCAACCCGAGAGGCAGUUUCCAGGGGAAGAUCCGGCACCAAUAACAUCUGCCGAAACUGCGGGUUGGAAGAGGAGACAUUAUCCCACAUUCUGCAGAACUGCCAUCGAACUAAUAAGAUAAGGAUACAUCGACACAACGCAGUUCUGCAGAUAUUAACUCAACAUCUUUGCAGGAGGAAUUGGAGAAUCCAAGAAGAGCCACUGAUCCCAACUCCUGGGGGUAAUGUUAUUAAGCCAGAUGUCUUGGCGACGGAUCCGGAGGGAAACCUCUAUGUCAUAGACGCAGCGUGCCCGUACGAAGGGGGGGGCGACUCCCUCUCGAGGGCCGCUGCGGCGAAAGUGGAAAAUACUCCGCCUACGAAACAUCUAUUCGGCGGUACAUAGGGAGGACCCCACGAAAGACCAUCUUCGUCGGAUUCGUGGUGGGGGCUCGUGGCGCCAUGCCACCUCAGACACAAGAGUUCUGCAAGCAGGUAGGUCUUGGUAAGGGCAAAUUACAUCUUAUGUCAGUACGGGCCAUAGAAGGAAGCCUCAAAAUCUUCCGAUUAUUUAUGGCCCUGUAGUGUUAAAACUCGGGUACGCACCCACGGAGUAUACGCAAGUGGUACUUCGGUAAUGCGAAAAGACAAGGUGUUAAGGAUCCUAACCCCAUGGUAAGGAACCUAUAUACCACGUCAUACAUAGCCAAAUGCCUCGUCAUCUAAUUAGUGACGCGCAUGAAUGGAUUAACGAGAUUCCCGCUGUCCCUAUCUACUAUCUAGCGAAACCACAGCCAAGGGAACGGGCUUGGCAGAAUUAGCGGGGAAAGAAGACCCUGUUGAGCUUGACUCUAGUCCGACUUUGUGAAGAGACAUGAGAGGUGUAGGAUAAGUGGGAGGUCUUCGGGCCGACGGUGAAAUACCACUACUCCCAUCGUUUUUUUACUUAUUCAGUAAAGCGGGGAGCGACCCUCGGGUCCCGUU
rnacentral:ncRNA from 1 species